CCCUUUGUGAACUACCUAUAACUGUUGCUUCGGCGGGUAGGGUCUCCGUGACCCUCCCGGCCUCCCGCCCCCCCGGGCGGGUCGGCGCCCGCCGGAGGAUAACCAAACUCUGAUUUAACGACGUUUCUUCUGAGUGGUACAAGCAAAUAAUCAAAACUUUUAACAACGGAUCUCUUGGUUCUGGCAUCGAUGAAGAACGCAGCGAAAUGCGAUAAGUAAUGUGAAUUGCAGAAUUCAGUGAAUCAUCGAAUCUUUGAACGCACAUUGCGCCCGCCAGCAUUCUGGCGGGCAUGCCUGUUCGAGCGUCAUUUCAACCCUCAAGCUCUGCUUGGUGUUGGGGCCCUACAGCCGAUGUAGGCCCUCAAAGGUAGUGGCGGACCCUCCCGGAGCCUCCUUUGCGUAGUAACUUUACGUCUCGCACUGGGAUCCGGAGGGACUCUUGCCGUAAAACCCCCCAAUUUUCCAAAGGUUGACCUCGGAUCAGGUAGGAAUACCCGCUGAACUUAAG
rnacentral:rRNA from 1 species